UACAGAGACCUCAAGCGUUAUCCGGAAUCAUUGGGCGUAAAGCGUACCGAUAGGUGGUUGUACAAGUCAGAAGUGAAAUCUCCGAGCUCAACUCGGAAUCUGUCUUUUGAAACUGUACGACUAGAGGGGCAAAGAGGAAGCUAGAACGAACGGUGUAGUAGUGAAAUGCGUUGAUAUCGUUCGGAAUACCGAUAGCGAAGGCAGGCUUCUGGGUGCCACCUGACACUGCUAGGACGAAAGCGUGGGGAGCGAACAGG
rnacentral:rRNA from 1 species